rnacentral:lncRNA from 1 species
GGAGAUGUAGACGGAAGCCAUGUGGUGAUGUUGUUUGCGAGAGUACCAAAAGUUUCCCAAGGAACUCCAGAGAAACAGUUAAUUGGAUUUGAUCGUGUCCAUACUGUUGCAAAAGGAUCAAAAGAAAUUAGCUUUGGAGUAGAUCCUUGCGAGCAACUUAGUAUUGCAAAUAAGCAUGGAAGAAGGAUACUGCCUCUGGGUAAUCAUGUUCUAAUGGUAGGAGAAUUGCGGCAUUCUCUUACAAUUGAAACUUAUUGACGGCCAUACAGGAAUUGAAACAUGCAGCAUAAAUAAAUUUGAUUUUCAAUUAAAAGGUUGCAAAAAUAUAUUUUGAAAGUAACACAACCUCUUGCUACAGUUUGUUCUUUAAAAUUUUGGAAAUUUGACAGAGAUAAUUUCACCUUUUAUCCUCUUUUGUCUUCUAGAUGAACGCGAGGACAAAGGCAAUAUGUUUAUCCCAUAAAUGGUGUGAUCAUUACUGAUUACAUGGAUGUUGUGUCAGGGUAACUGCCUGAUGCUUAAGUUAAGAAUCCUGCAACCCCA